rnacentral:misc_RNA from 1 species
GGUUAGUGGAAAAACCAUUCUUAAUUUUGAGUGCCAAGAACACCAAGAAAUGCUCAUAACUCAUCCAACCCAUCAAAGGCUAACAGCGCCACCAUGUAAGGAUACAAAUGCUAGCCUGUAAGAUGGUAAGAUACUGUGUCUUGAAUUUACAUUAACCGAGUUUAGACAAAAACCUUCAAGAAAAUCAAUUGGUUAAUGUGCCUUUCAGGAAAGAUUUUUUCCUUUCCUAACAACAAAAUCUAAAUAACGUAGGCAGGCCCAUCAAUGAAAAACACAGAACAACUAAUCCUUCCCUUCUUCCUUUAAUCACAUUCUCUAGUGCUGUCCACCAUUAAGGAAUAUGUGCUAGCAACUCCUGAUUGAGUUUUAUGAGACUUUCCGUACAAUAGUCGGAAUUUCUCCGAUUUGGGUCAAGAAUCUGGUUCUUUUUAACAUGGAAAGAUGUUGAGAACGUAACCCUCUCACAUCAAUGUCUUG